rnacentral:rRNA from 1 species
UACCUUUUGUAUAAUGGGUCAGCGACUUAUAUUCUGUAGCAAGGUUAACCGAAUAGGGGAGCCGAAGGGAAACCGAGUCUUAACUGGGCGUUAAGUUGCAGGGUAUAGACCCGAAACCCGGUGAUCUAGCCAUGGGCAGGUUGAAGGUUGGGUAACACUAACUGGAGGACCGAACCGACUAAUGUUGAAAAAUUAGCGGAUGACUUGUGGCUGGGGGUGAAAGGCCAAUCAAACCGGGAGAUAGCUGGUUCUCCCCGAAAGCUAUUUAGGUAGCGCCUCGUGAAUUCAUCUCCGGGGGUAGAGCACUGUUUCGGCAAGGGGGUCAUCCCGACUUACCAACCCGAUGCAAACUGCGAAUACCGGAGAAUGUUAUCACGGGAGACACACGGCGGGUGCUAACGUCCGUCGUGAAGAGGGAAACAACCCAGACCGCCAGCUAAGGUCCCAAAGUCAUGGUUAAGUGGGAAACGAUGUGGGAAGGCCCAGACAGCCAGGAUGUUGGCUUAGAAGCAGCCAUCAUUUAAAGAAAGCGUAAUAGCUCACUGGUCGAGUCGGCCUGCGCGGAAGAUGUAACGGGGCUAAACCAUGCACCGAAGCUGCGGCAGCGACACUGUGUGUUGUUGGGUAGGGGAGCGUUCUGUAAGCCUGCGAAGGUGUGCUGUGAGGCAUGCUGGAGGUAUCAGAAGUGCGAAUGCUGACAUAAGUAACGAUAAAGCGGGUGAAAAGCCCGCUCGCCGGAAGACCAAGGGUUCCUGUCCAACGUUAAUCGGGGCAGGGUGAGUCGACCCCUAAGGCGAGGCCGAAAGGCGUAGUCGAUGGGAAACAGGUUAAUAUUCCUGUACUUGGUGUUACUGCGAAGGGGGGACGGAGAAGGCUAUGUUGGCCGGGCGACGGUUGUCCCGGUUUAAGCGUGUAGGCUGGUUUUCCAGGCAAAUCCGGAAAAUCAAGGCUGAGGCGUGAUGACGAGGCACUACGGUGCUGAAGCAACAAAUGCCCUGCUUCCAGGAAAAGCCUCUAAGCAUCAGGUAACAUCAAAUCGUACCCCAAACCGACACAGGUGGUCAGGUAGAGAAUACCAAGGCGCUUGAGAGAACUCGGGUGAAGGAACUAGGCAAAAUGGUGCCGUAACUUCGGGAGAAGGCACGCUGAUACGUAGGUGAAGUCCCUCGCGGAUGGAGCUGAAAUCAGUCGAAGAUACCAGCUGGCUGCAACUGUUUAUUAAAAACACAGCACUGUGCAAACACGAAAGUGGACGUAUACGGUGUGACGCCUGCCCGGUGCCGGAAGGUUAAUUGAUGGGGUCAGCGCAAGCGAAGCUCUUGAUCGAAGCCCCGGUAAACGGCGGCCGUAACUAUAACGGUCCUAAGGUAGCGAAAUUCCUUGUCGGGUAAGUUCCGACCUGCACGAAUGGCGUAAUGAUGGCCAGGCUGUCUCCACCCGAGACUCAGUGAAAUUGAACUCGCUGUGAAGAUGCAGUGUACCCGCGGCAAGACGGAAAGACCCCGUGAACCUUUACUAUAGCUUGACACUGAACAUUGAGCCUUGAUGUGUAGGAUAGGUGGGAGGCUUUGAAGUGUGGACGCCAGUCUGCAUGGAGCCGACCUUGAAAUACCACCCUUUAAUGUUUGAUGUUCUAACGUUGACCCGUAAUCCGGGUUGCGGACAGUGUCUGGUGGGUAGUUUGACUGGGGCGGUCUCCUCCUAAAGAGUAACGGAGGAGCACGAAGGUUGGCUAAUCCUGGUCGGACAUCAGGAGGUUAGUGCAAUGGCAUAAGCCAGCUUGACUGCGAGCGUGACGGCGCGAGCAGGUGCGAAAGCAGGUCAUAGUGAUCCGGUGGUUCUGAAUGGAAGGGCCAUCGCUCAACGGAUAAAAGGUACUCCGGGGAUAACAGGCUGAUACCGCCCAAGAGUUCAUAUCGACGGCGGUGUUUGGCACCUCGAUGUCGGCUCAUCACAUCCUGGGGCUGAAGUAGGUCCCAAGGGUAUGGCUGUUCGCCAUUUAAAGUGGUACGCGAGCUGGGUUUAGAACGUCGUGAGACAGUUCGGUCCCUA